rnacentral:rRNA from 1 species
GACGAACGCUGGCGGCGUGCUUAACACAUGCAAGUCGAACGGUGACCCAGGGCUUGCCCUGGUGAUCAGUGGCGAACGGGUGAGUAACACGUGGGCAACCUGCCCCUGACUUCGGGAUAACUCCUCGAAAGAGGAGCUAAUACCGGAUACGACCACUUCGGACAUCCGAUGGUGGUGGAAAGUUUUUCGGUCAGGGAUGGGCCCGCGGCCUAUCAGCUAGUUGGUGGGGUAAUGGCCUACCAAGGCGACGGCGGGUAGCCGGCCUGAGAGGGCGACCGGCCACACUGGGACUGAGACACGGCCCAGACUCCUACGGGAGGCAGCAGUGGGGAAUAUUGCGCAAUGGGCGAAAGCCUGACGCAGCGACGCCGCGUGAGGGAUGAAGGCCUCGGUUGUAACCUCUUUCUAGCAGGGACGAAGCGAAAGUGACGGUACCUGCAGAAGAAGCACCGGCGUAACUACGUGCCAGCAGCCGCGGUAAU